GUAACUACAUUCAAUAACCAUAAUGAGAUAAAAAUAUAUAUAUGACAGAUAUCAAACAUACAGUGCAAAUUGCAAAUAGAUAACAAACCUGAACAGGAUGAUAUGGAAUUGGCAUAUAGGUAUUAUUGCCAAACAUGUGAACCGGGACCUGUAUAUCACAUAACAAUUUCAAGUUUAUAUUUGUCAACUAAUCAAGCCUUGCCAUGAAGAUUAAAAAACAUUCAAAAGUACUUCACUUGUGAUGAAUGAGAAGGUGGCAGUGGAUAAGGACUAAAGACAUUGAUACCACCAGUAUGUUGUGGAAUUGUAACCUAAAACAUGUCAACGAUUAAACUUUAAUUAUAUAUAUUAAGCACAUAGGCAUGAUAAAGAAUUAAAUGAGUUUAAGUACUUGAUCAGACUUCUUUUUUCUUGGUAAGGCUUUUUCCAAAGCACUCCUAAUUCUUCUUCUUCCUCGAUGAGACUUUUCUUUCUUCUUAAGCCGUUUUGGAAUGAUAUCAACAUUCUCCAAGCAACUGGCCAUUUGGCUAUUACAGUUGGUAUGCAUUUUCUCAGGUACAUCAUAUUUCACUUCUAGAUGUAAUAGGUCUUCAACCAUUUUUGCCAAUUUAUUUGCUUGCUCAAUCACCAGUUGGUAUGCCUUUAUAUUUUCAGAUGCCCUUGUUGAUAAUCUAGUGAAUAUAGAACACAAGGACCUAUAUCUAAAAGCUUGCUAGAAUUUAGGCUCCACUUGAAUGUCACGCCCACGCAUGUCUACCACACUCUCAACUUUUGCUUAUUUACUCUACAUGUUCACUAUAUAUUGUUCAGGAAUUUCCUUAUAAGCAUAGUUUCUCUAAGGACUUUAAUAGCAUGACUGCACAAAAUACCUUUCAUCUCAAAUAGUCUACAGUUGCAAAAAACUGUAGAUAUACCUUCCCUUUUCACCUUACGCUUCUUAGACGUAUCAUCUAGUUCAACUGCGUAUACAAAGUCAUCCCCAUCAACAACAUAGUUUGUUAUUGACAAUUCAAUAGAUUCUUCAAAUUGAUCUUGAAACAAUUUAAAUAUCGCUUUCGUGUAAACUUCUCUAGCUUAUUUCAACAUUUUGAUAUCAUAUUUGACAUGUGCAAUUUUGAAUUGUAGGUCACACUCCGCUUCCCACUUCUUGUACCCAGUAUCGGUAAGAACCCUCUCAAAGUUUGUGAAAAAUUGAACAAUAUUGAGAUCUGACUUCAAAUAAUUUUUUAGUCUUGCAUUAAAACUUUCACUGAUUUGUGUGCUUCGUAUUCCUAUAAACCAUGCCGAUCUCACAUAUGCAUAUGCCCAUUUCUUUCUAAUCUUAAAUGUGGUGGCCAACCAGUCAUUCUCAUGUGCAUCAUACUCAUUAAGCAUAGAAUACCAAGCAGCUACAAACUCACUUUCCUCCUCAAUGUGGUAAAAAAAAUUUGUCAAAGCAUUGUGAACUCCUUCCUAACCUCUGAAUAAAGUAUUCACAUUUUUACAAGCAUUCUGCAUCAGAUGUCAUAAACAAAGUCUAUGAUAAGUCUGAGGCAUCACUUCUAAAAUAGCCUUAGCCAUCACAGGAUCUUGAUCGGUAAAAAUAGUUCUUGGAGCCUUGCUAGACAUUGCCUGCAAAAAUGUUUUAAAUAACCAACUAAAUGAAGUGGCGGUCUCAUCAUACAUUAAAGCUGCUCCAAAUACAAUGAUCUCCUUGUGAUGAUUAAAGCCAACAAACACUACAAAUGGUCGAUCCAAUUGUUUGACUUUAUAAGUUGUAUCAAAACUUACAUCAUCUCCAAAAUGGCUAUAAUCAAUUAUCAUUUUAGCAUUUGCCCAAAACAUGUUUGUUAUUUGCUCCUCUUUGUCCAAGUGUAGUUCAUAGAAGAAUGAUGGGUUUUCCAAUAUUUGUUUGGAAAAGUAUUGUAGCAGGACUUUAACUUCUCCAUAUGGCAUUUUCUUUUGCCUCACAAUUCGAAGAUAAUUUUUUUGAUCCUGCUUAAUAUAUCCCAAAGACUCUUCCACCUGCUUGUUUGCUUAUUAACUCAUAAGCCAACCUAAGUGGAAACCCGGAUUCUUCAGCCAAUUCUACCUUAGUGGCUUGUAAGGCUGUCAUUUUCCAUUGGGAUGGUACCAUAUGGGCAUAUUCUUUCUUUACUAGGGGAUGAUUAAUUUGUUCAACAAAAGUAUAAACAUAAAACUUUCCCCUAUGCCUAUCCAACCUAACACCCAUACGAGCACCACAUCCAGUCCUCGUCUCUGCUCUUGGUCUUCUAAUCAUACCAUUUCGCUUAUUUACAGCUUGAAACCCUUCUUUAGCACAAGUAAACAGUCUUGAAGUGAGUUCACCAGCCUUUUUAUUAUUGCCACUACUUUCUCUUCGAAUACUAAACCCCAUAAUUCCACCAUAUUUGUUGUAGAAAUCAUAUGCUUCUUGUUCAGAAUCAAACUCCAUAUUUUUUGUAGGUUUCAAUUCCAAAGUACCUUCUACGCCAUCAUUCGGUUUAUCCAUUAUGUCAUUCACUAUCUAAUCCUACCGCAAAAAUAUACCAAGAUUCAGACAACUUGAGCUCAACGAAAAAAACCAAAUUUUCUGUAGAAGCAACACAACAUCUCCUCUUUUUCAAACAUAAACAUGCAGCAAAUCCAAUCUAAUUGCAAAAAUAUCAUGAAAAGGAAAUUCAACAAUGGAAACCUAACCUUUAUUAUUGAAGACCAGUGGCAACCCGUUGAUCGACCAAAGCGAGACAAUGAUUUCUUUUCCUUCCGAAAUUUUUGGAGGAAUGAGAUGCAUGAAUUGGAUUUUAUUUUUUCCUUCGAAAUUUUUAGAGGAAUGAGAUACGAGAAUUUCGUAGGAAACAAGAGAUUAGUUUCAGAGGAGAAGUGAGCAAGCAGGGAAUAGGGGAGCGCAUGAGAUGUAAAAGGCACAAGAUUGCCUUGGUUUGAGCGAAAUAAUUUGAAAGCUUCUUGGCCGUUCUUGGCUGGAAGAUCAAUUUGAAAGGCUGAGAUCAAUUGAUCCCUAGGCUUCAUUGGCAACAGCUCAGGAUAGGAUCUGCUUCCCCUGUCCCGUGUCCCGUCAUCUCUCUUCCUCUCUUUAUUUUCUUAUUUUUCUUCUUCUUUCCUCUUCAUCAUCACUCUCCCUCCCACUCAUCUCUCACUAUUUGUUUUCUUCUCUUGGCUAAACAGCACCCACAUACCCACCCACAUUCAUAUCACCACCAUCACAUGUACCUUAACACUCUGGCGAGCUCUGGAAGGGGGACAAAACCACCACCAAUUCCUCUUUUUCCUUUGCACAGUAGCCUUUACUGUGCAACACCUUUCUCCGGCAAAGGAACAUGGAAAACCCUCGAGGAACUCACUAUUCAUUUCUGGAAAUUCAAAACCGUGGUCGUUUGCCCACCUUCUAGCCAAUUUGUCGGCUAACUUUGAUCUUCAUUGGGCUUCCUCAGGGUAUGAAUCUCUUCUCCACAUUCCUAACCACAUUUUAGUUUUUGAAUUACUCGAUUUGGACAUGUAUCGAGCUUGGAAUGAGCUCUUAAAGUUGGAGGAAAAAUCUGGAAAAAUUCCAGAAAUCGUGGGUUGGCGAGUACAAGUGUACUAACGGCGCAUGAAGCUACGCAUGGGGUUGUCAUGGUUGGUGCGACGAAUUUUCAUGCUACCCAUCUCGACACGUGGUGACCCAAGCUACCACGGGGUGGCGGCGCAUGGGGAACCCGAGGUCCCUCCUUAAAUUUUUCUAUGUGUCGAAUUUGAAUUCGUCUCCGUUUUUCCAAAUUCAAUUAUUUUAGUAGUGUUUUAAUAAAUGGUCCCUAUUUGUGUUUAGGUACGUUGGUUGGAAGUGAUCUUAUCCUCUCUAAUUCGAUCGGCUCCCCGCUAGAGGAAUAUUUGUGGGUGGACCCCUUCUUAAAUUGCAUAUUUUUAUAAAAAUAUUAGGCUUGCAUUCAUUCUACAUUUCCUGAGUUAAUUGCGUUUUAUAAUAUGUUUCUAAGAAUUUCUAGAUUUAUAAUUUAUGGAGAAUUUAUGAGUUAUCUAAAUUGCUUUUAUGAAAUAUUUAUAAUUUAUUAGUUUAAAGUUUAUGAAAUUUAUAUUCGUGGAAAUCACGUUUAUGGAAUUGCUUAUGAUUUCGGAUGAUGAGAUUUUGAAUCCUAAGCUUGGUAUGAGUUUUUGAGAUAUGUUUUAUGUGGGUAAUCGUACAUCACAUACACACAACCUGAGUAUGUAUACAUCUAUGGCCAUAGGACACAUUGGAUGAGUAGUGAGAUAUUUAUGACAUACUCCCAGCUUCAUUAGCAAAACCAAUGUCGGACAAAUUCACUAGCCACGGCUAGUGUCGAUGUGUUAUGUAUAUAUUUCUUCUCUAGCGUAACCUAGAGUCGUACAACUUCAACUUUGGGUGAUGGGACCUACCAUAUUUGUUCACUGGCGUAACCCAAUGUCGUACAGCUUCACCUUCGGGUGAUGGUUAUGCCUUCAAGUGACUAUGAUACCCCUAGUUGAGUACAUUAUUAUUUUGAUUUACGAGAUUCUUUGGAUUUGCCUUCAGGCGCUUUCGAUAUCACUUUUAGAGAUAAUUUUUUUGGCAUGUUAGAGUUUUUAGCAAAACCUAUAUGUAGUAUUAUAUGUGUUUUCCAAACAGGGGGUUAGUAUGUUUAGAAAGAAAUCGAUUUUCUUAUUAGUACUAUUAUUAUAAGUAUAGUCCACUCACCUUUUGUUUUUGCUCCCCCUUCAGGACAUAGUGAUGAGGACUACGCCCCGAGCUUCGAAGCAUUUCCCUACUAGUGAUUUUGUGUCCUCUUACCAACGUAUGACUUCUUAUGUGCAAUUGUAAUUUGUCUUUCAUUUCCUUUAGUACUCUCGACUAGUAGUAUGCUCUAAACAUAUUCUUGCAUCUUUUCUUUCAGAAUUGUGAUUGUUGGACAUCCUUUUUAUUUUAUGACCUUCUUUCUAUUAUUAUUAUUUCUUUA